CAGUUAAUUUAUUCACUGCACUUGCCCUGACGUCAUUCCUUCCAAGCGCCGUAAUCUCGCGCAGGCGCAGUGUACACAGUAGUCUGCGCCGGUGCGGACUACUGGCACAGGCUUCGUCGAUCCAACUGCGCAUGCGCCAACAACCC